UACCAACAGUUAAUCACCAAUAGUGCAUAGGUGAACCUGAGAAAUUAUCAUUGUCAUUGCCACAAAAGAGCGACCCCACCCCAGUGCCACAGGCGCCUUAGUUACGCAACAAAGUAAAGGCAACACGGCUGAUGGCGCAGGAAUGGCGCUAAUCACCUAGCCCGGUGACUCAUGCCAUAUGCAAUCUCAAACAACUCUUGGUGGCAGAUAUCUCGACUCUCGUAUCGAUGAAGAACAUAGCGAAAUGCGAUACUUGGUGUGAAUUGUAUAAUCCCAUGAACCAUUCAAUCUUUAAACGUAAGUUGGGCCCGAAGGCAUAUGGCAAAGGGCACGUUUUCUUGGGUGUCACGCAUCAUCGCCACUGUCCCACGCCCACGAGGCGGAGGAUGGCCUCCCGAGAGCCUCGCCUUCAGGCUUGCCAAAAAAGGGCCUAACGUGACGCUCACCAUGACCCAUGGUGGCUGAGCGAACACACGUUCAAGACCUAGACGUGCAUGUGUCAUCCGAGGAGAGGGCCUGUCAGGGAAGGCAGUAUCCUCCAACCUUACGCGACCCCAGGUCAGGAAAGGCUACACACUUAGUUUAAGCA
rnacentral:rRNA from 1 species